rnacentral:rRNA from 1 species
UGCCAAUGGCACUGCCCGGUAGCUAAAUGCGGAAGAGAUAAGUGCUGAAAGCAUCUAAGCACGAAACUUGCCCCGAGAUGAGUUCUCCCUGAGACUUUAAGUCUCCUGAAGGAACGUUGAAGACGACGACGUUGAUAGGCCGGGUGUGUAAGCGCAGCGAUGCGUUGAGCUAACCGGUACUAAUGAACCGUGAGGCUUAACCUUACAACGCCGAAG